GAAUGAACGCUGGCGGCGCGCCUAAUACAUGCAAGUCGAGCGAGAAGACGUAGCAAUACGUUUGUAAAGCGGCGAGCGGGUGAGGAAUACAUGGGUAACCUACCCUCGAGUGGGGAAUAACUAGCCGAAAGGUUAGCUAAUACCGCGUACGCUUCUUGGACUUCGGUUCAGGGAGGAAAGCGAUGCCGAGGGUAUCGCGCUCUUGGAUGGGCUCAUGUCCCAUUAGCUAGUUGGGAGGUAACGGCUCACCAAGGCGACGAUGGGUAGCCGGCCUGAGAGGGGUGUCCGGCCACACUGGGACUGAGAUACGGCCCAGACUCCUACGGGAGGCAGCAGUGAGGAAUAUUGGUCAAUGGCCGAAAAGGCUGAACCAGCAACGCCGCGUGAGGGAUGAAGAU
rnacentral:rRNA from 1 species